GGCGCAAAUGAUCUUUUCUGAUCAUAAGCCUUAAGUCAUUGUUUUCGUUGUUGUUGUCAUAUAAACUCUUCACAUUUCAUCUUCUCCAGAACCACUGGGCCUAUUUCAACCAUACUUGGUACUGUACAUGGUACAAUGCCUCACGUGUGACGUCACAAUCAGAAAUAUGGCAUGAAAUCGAAAAAGAAUGGAGUUUUUCAAUACAGCGAAUUUUGCCGGAAAACGAAUCCGACUUCAAACCACGAAAUUUUAACAGGAAAGAGACAAUUUGAUGAGCUUUCAUUCAAGAGGUCCCUCGUUGCUGAACAAAAAUAUUGCCUGAGCUAUGAACCCUAACGUUAACAUUACCGCCUAUGGAAAAUGCAUUGGUGGACUAUACCCAUGCAAGGCAAAUAUCAGUGUCUUUAUCAUCAACAAACCUGGUUGGACGUGUAACAAUGGCUGAGAAAAAGAAAAUGGUCUUGGUGACAAACAAGAAAAAGUUGGGCCCAUGCAGCUUUACAGAAUGAGGAGGUACAGGUGGGUGUUGUUUAUCAGGUAAUGAAAAAAAGGAUGAUUUACCGUAAUAUUGUUUGAUACCAUACGACUUUGUCCUUUUUGUAAGACAGUACAUGAAAUAUUGUAUUAUGUUUUUUCCCCUAAAUUCAAAGAGUUGUAAAGACCCUUUCACAAUUGAUGCAUGAGCAGAAGCAAUAAAAUAAAAUCUAGAUUUUGAUUGUAAACUGUUGCUGAAAUAAUCACAUAUGAAAAAGAAAUAUUCAUACCAAAUUUGCACUAUCUGAAGUGACUGUUAUGUGAGGUAAACACAUUAAAUAUUGCAAUAUUUAUUGUAUCUGUUACGGGAUUUAAAUACUACACACAUGUAUCGUAACAGGUUUUAUUGUGAUGAUCAAAUGAGAUAUAGUUCUGAAACAUACACAAACAUACAUAAACAUACACAUCACAAGACAACACAAACACAUAUAUCAAGUACAAUAGCUCCAUUUCAUAAUUCAGUCACAUUUACUGCUUUAAUGAAAUGGAAAAUAGAUCAAAUUAAAAUCAAAUCAAUUGUUCAUAUUUCACCAUUAUUAUUAAGAAUAAUCAAUAUGUAAAUUUAUCACAUAUAUGCAUAAUUAUGACUUUUAGAUAUAAAGGUCAAAAUUAGUAUAGACAAAGUUUAGACAAUUUGGACACCACAUACAUUUAUAUGUUAGUCACACAAAACAUAGAUCUUACCAGAUAUAUGGUAUCAGAACUUAUGCAUUGACAUCGCUGUAUUAAUUACUUGCUUAUGGAAUGACUCUACAAAUCAACCAAAUAAAUAAUUGAUUACUGAUAAAAUAAUUACUUUAAUAAAUAGCAUUCUAACCCUUUAUUUUAAUUAAUAAUUUAUUUAUCUUUCACACAAGUUAAUAAAGUUAAUAAACUCUCUUACUUUAGGUCUUAGUCCCAAGUCUGUCUUGAAUAUAAUAAUAUUAAUAUAUCAGACCGCUCUCAACAGUAGUCACUGGAGAAAUUAAAUCAAACACCCCAAAAUUACUCUACCUUCAAAGAAUUAAACCUUUAACCUUAAAACCAACCAACCAAAGUCAAGAAUUACUAGACCAUGAACAACAAUCUCUCUACUUUAUAUGUAUGGAAACCCAUAAGUGACUUUACCAAAUAAAUAACUUGAAUAUAACUGUAUAAUACGGAAACAUACAGCAGCAAUAAUAAAUUUAUUCAAACAACCAAUAAUUAAAAUAACUUGCAACCUGUUCUAUCACAUAUCUAUAUGCAACUGUUGUACAAUGAAAACAUGCAAGUUUUGUAAGAUAAUGCAGUAGGACCACUCUACUGAUCAGGAAAUUGGACAUUUAAAUGUGUGCCAAUGCGAUUGGAUGUGCGGCGUUUAUGCGAUGAUGUGUUACAUGGUACAUGUACGAACGCUCAUGUGAGUCAGAUUGGGUAUGUAUACCGCUUGUUCAAUUCCAACGCUGUGCUUGGAGAUUUAGUGAUGUCAAGGAGGUAUUGUUGCUUCAGCAUCCAUGGUCAAAUAUUCACAUUUAGUGUAAUUUCCCCUUAUGUUUGCAUUGGAAGCCAGCAUUACGUUUAAUUUUCUGUAAACAAACUUAGCCUUGUCAGAGCACAUGAACACAAAUUAAGUAUUGUCAUCACAGGUUUUAAAAUUUUUUUUGUUAUUGGAAGAUCAAAUGAAACGUUCAAACUUACAUAACCAAUUUGAUAUGUAAUUAUGAAAAAUAAUUCUUUAAUCAUAUCUAAUCAUUGAAAAAGAAAAUUCCUGACUAAUUUCUGGCAGUAUAUUUUUAGUUGUGGAAGUGAACUGAAUAACAUAACAAGAUUAUGCCGCCAGAAAGAUCUAAACUACGUUACAUACAAAUUUUAAAAACAUUAACCAAACUCAGGAGUAUGUAUUAUGCAGUAAAUUAUAUGAGCUUUUUGCUCUAAAACUAUUUUUAUAAAGUUGUCUGCCCUUUACAAACAUUAGGAAAAAAUCAUUUUCCCAAAAUAUGUAUGGUAAAUCAUGAAUUUUUGGCAUUUUCAAAAUUUCAAAGGUGAAUCUUUGUUAUUUAAUAAACCCUUAAAAUCACACCGAGAUUUCAGUGAUCAUUUGAACAACAUGGUUGCAUGGUUGCAAACACACUUAGAUAUGCAUGGGCAGCUGCGAUUUCUCUUUUGACUGUUAACAAGUGUGAAUAGACAAAACACUGCAAGACAUUUGUAUUUCUGUUUGUGCAUUGCAUUACGAUAAUUUGGAUUGCGUUUGGUCGUGUCUGAAUUAAGUGUGCAUGUCCACUUAUUUGAGGAGACUGGACGCAAUUACUAAAAUGCAUGCAACGAAUGUGAGACAUCAUGAAACGUAUGCAAGAGCCAAAACAUUCUGAUCACAAAGUGUUGUAUAGUGCGCCAAUUGCGACAGGGUUUUUAGUAAGCUAAAAUAGCUUUUUGAAUCAUGCAACAUCAGAUGGUCCAAGUUAGCAUUAAAUUGUUUUGUUCUUUUGUUCAAUUCUACUUCAAUUUCAUUGGAAUUCAUCAAUUGUCUGCUGGUAUAUUUUAGAUCUGGAUAAGGAUAUUCUGCCAUGCUUCACAUCAAAAGAAGAUGCCAUGCCUCAUUUUGCAGUGUCCAAAGGUCCAAGGUCGAUAGUGCAAGGUCAUCAAUGAUGCGGGAGGAGGCUGGAAAGUCUGAAGAAAAUCCACAUGUCCAAGUGAAUGACUACGAUACCCUUUCACACACAGCCACUGUCGAUCACAGCGAUCCAACUUGGAUGAGCUUCUUGGUACGCUAAUCCUUGACAUUUGAGGAACCUUCCCAAGCAAGAGUAUACCUGUCGUGUGUGUUUAGAUAAUACAAUGUAUAAAGAAUAAGUAUAAAUGUUGUUAAUCAUACUAAGAUUAUCAUGCUAUUUCUUAUGAGAGUUCAUUGUCCAUCAGAUUGUGAAAGAUGUAUAAUACAAAUCCUAAUGGAUUUAUAGACUACUCAAUUAUUAAUAGAGUGUAAAAUGCAAGAUUUGAUAUUUUCUUAAAGAUAUUGAUUAGUUAAUUAUCUAGCAUAAACAAACUUUAGUAGAAGGUUUAAAAGUGGAUGUAAAUGCAUACUUUGAUCUGCAUUUUAAGUUUUUUGGUUUUUUUUUUUUUUUUAAUUUCAACUCCUGACAGUGUAUAUAUAUAUACUUAUUCUGCAAUGACUUUUCCAUAUAUGCAUUCAACACAGUCAGUUGUAGAAAGCAAUGUUUUUAUUAGUCCCCUACCGGUUUUCACCGGAGGGGACUAUAGCUUUCCUCUGCGUCCGUCAGUCCAUCUGUCCGUCCAUCCGUCUGUCUGUCCCACUUCAGUUUUCCACACUUUUUUUCUUUAUGCGUUUGAGGAAUAAUAUGAAAUUUGCUGAACAGCUUCAAAAUGUCAAACUACAGAUCAAGUUUACACUUUUGUAGUGUCUGGUUGACAUAUUUUCGAGAAUAGUAAUUUUUUAUAUUCAAAUUUUUUAAUGUUCGGGUUCGAUAUUCUGCAUAACAGUGCAUUAUAUUAAUUGUUUUCACAAUUUCCACAAACCGGUAGGGGACUUGUAUUGCUUAUGCAAUACUCUCAGAAUGCUUGUUUUUCAUGUUCAGGUUGAUAAUUGUAUUGCUAUAUGAUUUGUAGAUUGUAACUCUAUACAAUUGGUCUGCAUUAUUUCUUUCUUGUGAAAAUACAUGUACAUGUCAUUUACAAUAUGUAUAAACUUAAUGCAAUAUCUGUGCUGUUUAUAUUUUUUAUGGCAUGCUUUUACUUAUUGAGUUCAAUAUGAAGGACUGUAUGUAAGGUAUCUUUAACAUGUUUAAUAGCAAUGUUUGGGAGAAUUUUUGUUUGGUAUGCUGAUCAUUUGUACUUUUUAUUUCAAGAAGAUCUGACAUAUAGCUUCUUAUCAUGUAUCAUACAUCUAUUUCACAAACAAAAAUCAUAAUUUUCAUUUACAGGAGUUUAUGGAAAACUCUUUUUUUAAUUGUCUUUUAUGUAUCACAGCUUCUUAAAAAAUCUGUUAUACACUGUACUUACAAAAAAUAUCCAGAGUAACUUAGAGAAAAGUAUUUAUUUACUAUUUCACCCUUUUUGAUAAUUGAAUCUUGGAGUUGUGCAUGUAAUUUAUGUGUUAGUGAUAAGUCCUCCUUUGUUAUAUUUCUUCAUAUUUUACAAUCAUCUUGCUUGUUUUACAUUCAUGUAAUGUGUUAUAUUCUGAUCUUUUACAUGGACUAUACAACACUAGAAAAAGAUAUGAUUUUUAUAUUGAUGGGCUGUAUUGCUGUGCUUUUUUUUUUUGCAAACCAUUAUAUUGAUAAGUUAUGAAUUACAUGUAUUAUUAUUAUGUGUGUUACUAUAUUAGCAAAGCUGAAUGGAAUUAUUUUUUGAUUUAUUAUAACUUUUGGGUUUAGAUUUAUAACCAAUAUUGAAAGUUUUGUAUGUAUUACUAAGGCCACACCAAUAUACCCGGUAAUUUCUUGUUCAUCAGACAUCCAAUAAAAAGAGGUACAUGCUGGUGAGCGAUUGCUUGAUAAAAUUAUAAUUUUUUGUAGCCAACAUAUUUGGGCAGUACAUAAAUAAAUUUGUGCUGGCGAUUAUAUUUUUUCUUCUUGUUCUUGAUAUAUGAAUAAAAAUGAUUUAAAAUAAAAAAAAAAUAAAGCAGAUUUAGAACAGAAAACAGUGCAGAAUUUCCUGGAUGCGGGAAAUUAUAAUGAUAUUAUUUUGAAAUUAGUUUUUAUUUAAAUACGAUCAUGUGGGUCAAACGAACAAAAAAUUAUAUUGGUGUGGCCUAACAUGACUUCUUAAUUUUAAGAAUUAAUUAGUUUACAUAGACUGUGCUUAUAAGUACUAUGAAAUAUGUUACAUAAACACUAAUAAAUCAGCAAGAAUUUAA